UAGGGAAUCUUCGGCAAUGGACGAAAGUCUGACCGAGCAACGCCGCGUGAGUGAAGAAGGUUUUCGGAUCGUAAAACUCUGUUGUUAGAGAAGAACAAGGACGUUAGUAACUGAACGUCCCCUGACGGUAUCUAACCAGAAAGCCACGGCUAACUACGUGCCAGCAGCCGCGGUAAUACGUAGGUGGCAAGCGUUGUCCGGAUUUAUUGGGCGUAAAGCGAGCGCAGGCGGUUUCUUAAGUCUGAUGUGAAAGCCCCCGGCUCAACCGGGGAGGGUCAUUGGAAACUGGGAGGCAUGAGUGCAGAAGAGGAGAGUGGAAUUCCAUGUGUAGCGGUGAAAUGCGUAGAUAUAUGGAGGAACACCAGUGGCGAAGGCGGCUCUCUGGUCUGUAACUGACGCUGAGGCUCGAAAGCGUGGGGAGCAAACAGG
rnacentral:rRNA from 1 species